AGGGAUUUAGCUCAGUGGCAUAAGCGCCUGCCUUGCAAGCAGGCUGUCAUCAGUUCAAUCCCUG
rnacentral:tRNA from 1 species